rnacentral:rRNA from 1 species
CGAACGGGUGAGUAACGCGUGAGGAACCUGCCUCAAAGAGGGGGACAACAGUUGGAAACGACUGCUAAUACCGCAUAAGCCCACGACCCGGCAUCGGGUAGGGGGAAAAGGAGCAAUCCGCUUUGAGAUGGCCUCGCGUCCGAUUAGCUAGUUGGUGAGGUAAUGGCCCACCAAGGCGACGAUCGAUAGCCGGACUGAGAGGUUGAACGGCCACAUUGGGACUGAGACACGGCCCAG